rnacentral:rRNA from 1 species
UUCCGCCUGGGGAGUACGGUCGCAAGGAUUAAAACUUAAAGGAAUUGACCGGGGACCCGGCACAAGCGGUGGAUUAUGUGGUGUAAUUCGAAGCUACGCGCAAAACCUUACCGGGCUCUUGACAUGUGACGUUUAGGGACCCAGAGAUGGCCUCUUUCACUUCGGGUGGCGUCAACACAGGUGCUGCAUGGCUGUCGUCAGCUCGUGUUGUGAGAUGUUGGGUUAAGUCCUGCAACGAGCGCAACCCUCGUCGUUAGUUGCCAUCAGGUAAAGCUGGGCACUUUAACGAAACUGCCGGUGAUAAACCGGAGGAAGGUGAGGAUGACGUCAAGCCCUCAUGGUCCUUAUGGGCCGGGCUACACACGUAAUACAAUGGUAGUUACAGAGAGCUGCAAUGAUGUGAAAGUCGGAGCGAAUCUCUUAAAAGCUAUCUCAGUKCGGAUUGUCUCCUGCAACUCGGAGGCAUGAAGUCGGAAUCGCUAGUAAUCGCAGAUCAGCAUGCUGCGGUGAAUACGUUCUCGGGUCUUGUACACACUGUCCGUCAAACCAUGGGAGUUGGUUCUACUUUAAGUCGGUGCGCUAACCAGCAAUGGAGGCAGCCGACCACAGUGGGGUCGAUGACUGGGGUUAAGUCGUAACAGGUAACCGUA